ACUCCUGCGGGAGGCAGCAGUGAGGAAUAUUGGACAAUGGGUGGAAGCCUGAUCCAGCCAUCCCGCGUGCAGGAAGACGGCCCUAUGGGUUGUAAACUGCUUUUAUCUGGGGAUAAACCUACUUACGUGUAAGUAGCUGAAGGUACCAGAAGAAUAAGCACCGGCUAACUCCGUGCCAGCAGCCGCGGUAAUACGGAGGGUGCAAGCGUUAUCCGGAUUUAUUGGGUUUAAAGGGUCCGUAGGCGGACUGAUAAGUCAGUGGUGAAAUCCGACAGCUUAACUGUCGAACUGCCAUUGAUACUGUUAGUCUUGAGUAAGGUUGAAGUGGCUGGAAUAAGUAGUGUAGCGGUGAAAUGCAUAGAUAUUACUUAGAACACCAAUUGCGAAGGCAGGUCACUAAGUCUUAACUGACGCUGAUGGACGAAAGCGUGGGGAGCGAACAGGAUUAGAAACCCCGGUAGUCCC
rnacentral:rRNA from 1 species